UAAUACGGAGGGUGCGAGCGUUGUCCGGAAUCACUGGGCGUAAAGGGCGCGUAGGUGGCGCGGGCAGUCAACGGUGAAAGCUCGGGGCUCAACCCCGAGUCGGCCGUCGAUACUCCCGUGCUUGAGCACUGUAGAGGCAGGUGGAAUUCCGGGUGUAGCGGUGGAAUGCGUAGAGAUCCGGAAGAACACCGGUGGCGAAGGCGGCCUGCUGGGCAGUAGCUGACACUGAGGCGCGACAGCGUGGGGAGCAAACAGGAUUAGAUACCCUGGUAGUCCACGCCGUAAACGAUGGGCACUAGGUGCUUGGGGGAGCGACCCUCUGAGUGCCGGCGCUAACGCAUUAAGUGCCCCGCCUGGGGAGUACGGCCGCAAGGCUG
rnacentral:rRNA from 1 species